CCCGUGGCUGUUAUUUGAUUGCUGCUGUUAAAAAAACAUAACCUUUUUUCUCAUUUUCUCUGAAUAUACAAUAUACAGAAAUGGAAGGAGGGUGAGCCAUUGGGAGCUUUACUCUACCAUUAAGCAUUUCUUUAAAGGCUACCUCACAUUUGCACUUAGGUCACAAAGCUUCUGUAACUAGGGUGAACCACCAUCAUUGAAAAGGUGGAACCUGGGACCUUCGGAUAUGAGGGCAGAACCUUGGGCCCCAGCAUGCUAUGUUUAGGACAUUUGGCCUCUUACUAAACCCACUCAGCUAUGUUCCUCCUUUUUUUCUUUGUUUCUUCAGCACUUAUAUAUUCAGUUUGCACUGUAUUAAUUUGCACUUGUUUGCAUGUUGCUUUCACCUUUUACUGUGAGAGUGGGCACACAGUAUAUGUUGUGGAAUGACAUCCUGAGUGAUCCCUCCCUGGCUGGGCCUCAGAUUAAAUUCCCUGAAAUGGAACAGUCCUAACCAACACAGGACAGGCGAGUCUGCGGACACCAGAACUGACCUGGGAGCGAGUGAGAUCUCAAGUUGACCAUGUGAUAUGGCCUGAUGGCAAGAGGAUAGUACUGCUGGCAGAGGGCCGCCUGCUGAACCUUAGCUGCUCCACAGUGCCUACAUUUGUGCUCUCAAUCACUGCUACUACUCAGGCUCUUGCCUUGAUAGAGCUUUACAAUGCUCCUGAGGGUCGCUAUAAGCAGGAUGUCUACCUGUUGCCCAAGAAGAUGGAUGAGUAUGUGGCCAGCCUACACCUGCCUACCUUUGAUGCCCACUUGACAGAGCUGACAGAUGAACAGGCCAAGUAUCUGGGACUCAACAAGAAUGGGCCCUUCAAGCCUAAUUACUACAGGUAUUAAGUUCCUGUAACUCAAACCAGAAUUUUUAAGGAAUAGAACUCCAAGCCUUUUCUCCACUACUAUACAAGAAAGAAUUCAGCAAGCUGCUUCUCCAAUCAAAGCUGCCUGCCGUGCUCACCCUGUGUGUUAGGUUAUUUAUUUAUUAAAAUCAAGAAUCCUGUGCCUGUAGUGUUGG
rnacentral:lncRNA from 1 species